rnacentral:sRNA from 1 species
GCACUGGCUAGAACGACGGUUUGAAAAGCGUAUUUUCAUGUUCAUACGCCUGCCAGUUUUUUAUUUUGAACAUG